GACCCUGCGUGGUGGGUAGUUUGACUGGGGCGGUCGCCUCCUAAAGCGUAACGGAGGCGCGCGAAGGUUGGCUCAGAGCGGUCGGAAAUCGCUCGUUGAGUGCAAUGGCAGAAGCCAGCCUGACUGCGAGACUGACAAGUCGAGCAGAGUCGAAAGACGGCCAUAGUGAUCCGGUGGUCCCGUGUGGAAGGGCCAUCGCUCAACGGAUAAAAGGUACGCCGGGGAUAACAGGCUGAUACUGCCCAAGAGCUCAUAUCGACGGCA
rnacentral:rRNA from 11 species